AUGAACAGUAGUGAGCUACAAGUGGUGGUGGCUCAUGAGUCUCAUCAGUUUGGAGAUGAAGGAGGAACACAGAAACAGGUAACAACUAGAGAGGUCACCAGUUCCUUUCUUACCUGCUUCAAGGCUCCUACUGCUGCAGUCCCUGAAUUGCUCCAUCAUCCACCUCUUCCUGCAUCUCCAGGAAUGGUUCAAAAAGUCUCUAAAGUCAAUUGCCUCUGCAUUGAGAACAGCCAGCAAUUCUUUCAGUGCUUUUGGAGUGCCGUUCUGCCUACCAGGAGGGCUGGCAGGAUACUCUUCAAGUCCCUCAGUAGCAUAAGCGUAGCUCUGCUUUUAGCUGUGAAGAGACUUUGUUCAAGGGCACACGAGGGUUCAAUGGGCUUGCCAAGGUCAGGCCACAAACACAGGUAUGGGGCUUGCCAGCCACAUACCACCUUUCUUCUCCAACCCCCUCAACUCUUCCCUUCCCCAGAUGGCAAGUAUCUUAGUUAUUUUUAAAAGAUUUUCAUGUAUCUGUUAGUCUGCAAACUACAAACUAAAUACACAUUUCAAAUGAAAUGGCUAGGACUUUGACGCUUCUUAAAAUAUACAUUUUAUUAUUUUCUGGUGUUUGCUAUGAAGGUUUCAUUUAAAUUGUGAAGGUACACAGCCUUUACAAACUUGUUGAGUUAAAGGUUUUUGUUGGUGGUUUUAUGUUCUGUUUCUUUCACGGCAGAGGAAAAUACAUAGGCUAUAAAAGGUUGAAAUUCGUUAGAUGUUUAGUAUUACCUCUUCAUAUAUGCUGUGGAAUGCUUUGUAGAAAUACUAUAUAAAAUAAGGCAGACUUUGACAGGGAAUUCAGUCAUAAAAUUUCAUGGGAGAAACAAAAGGUUCUACAAGUUCUGUGCCAAAUUCCCACCCCAGGGUGGGACAUGUGGCCUUCAGAAGCCCCCCUCCCCAGCGGCGCUCUCGGGGGACCCAAGUCCUUGUGAUAGAGGCUGCGACCUCAGGUCAGACGUGGCGACCCUGCUGAAUUUAACAUAUUAUUUAUUUUUGUAGCCAAGGGAAGAUCAGGUGGUCGUCACUGGUUUGUGGGGGAUCUACUGCAGUUCUGGUGCUCAGACAGUAUACAUUUCUUGUUUAUUCUACUAUUCUCAAGUGAGGCCUUUUCAAUAAAACUUAUUUUAAUUAACA
rnacentral:lncRNA from 1 species